rnacentral:rRNA from 1 species
AUUGAACGCUGGCGGCAUGCUUUACACAUGCAAGUUGAACGGCAGCGCGGGCUUCGGCCUGGCGGCGAGUGGCGAACGGGUGAGUAAUACAUCGGAACGUGCCCAGUAGUGGGGGAUAGCUCGGCGAAAGCCGGAUUAAUACCGCAUACGACCUGAGGGUGAAAGCGGGGGAUCUUCGGACCUCGCGCUAUUGGAGCGGCCGAUGGCAGAUUAGUUAGUUGGUGGGGUAAAGGCCUACCAAGGCGACGAUCUGUAGCUGGUCUGAGAGGACGACCAGCCACACUGGGACUGAGACACGGCCCAGACUCCUACGGGAGGCAGCAGUGGGGAAUUUUGGACAAUGGGCGAAAGCCUGAUCCAGCAAUGCCGCGUGUGUGAUGAAGGCCUUCGGGUUGUAAAGCACUUUUGGCGGGAACGAAAAGGACUGUGCCAAUACCACGGUUCGAUGACGGUACCCGCAGAAUAAGCACCGGCUAACUACGUG